AAGCCAUGACUCUGCUCUGGUGAUUUCAGAUCCUGAAGCAAGCGCACAAGGAGGAGUUCCAGAUCUACAUCGAUUACAGGUCAGGUUCGUUGCCCUUAAUUUGGUUUUGCUCCUGGGUAGCUAUGUCGAUGCAGAAAUGAGCAGUUUUCCUUACCAUCACAAGCCAGGUAUGGUGGCUGUUCUUUAGAUCUGAUGGGUACCUCAAGUUGAAGAUCAGCCACACCCAUGACUCCAUGAUGGUUCAGGAUCUCCAUGAUGGUUAAGCUUCAAUGACAACCUCAACAGCCCCAAGUCAUUAGGUCUAGUUUUUUUGUGAGGAUCCAUGAGAUUAUUCUGAUGGUUUCAGAUUCGCAAAUGCACAAGGAGGUCGCCUACAUGGAUCAUAUCUAAGCCAUUUCGAGGCAGGUCUGUCAUCAUUCGGAAUUUUCUCGCUAUCUUAGGUUGUAUUAGGAACAAUAUAUCUCCCUUGGCGCAAACAAAAUACUUUGUGACUAAUGCAUUGUCAUUUCUUCCAGCUUUGUAAGCACAAUAAAGAUUUCUCCUGCAAGGAAGAGCUUCUUAAUUUGUGACGACGCCAAGGUCUGGCGAGCAGGAAGGUAUGUUCAGGUUUUAGUUACC
rnacentral:lncRNA from 1 species